rnacentral:rRNA from 1 species
CAGCAGCCACGGGAAUACAGAGGGUGCGAGCGUUAAUCGGAUUUACUGGGCGUAAAGCGUGCGUAGGCGGCUUUUUAAGUCGGAUGUGAAAUCCCUGAGCUUAACUUAGGAAUUGCAUUCGAUACUGGGAAGUUAGAGUAUGGGAGAGGAUGGUAGAAUUCCAGGUGUAGCGGUGAAAUGCGUAGAGAUCUGGAGGAAUACCGAUGGCGAAGGCAGCCAUCUGGCCUAAUACUGACGCUGAGGUACGAAAGCAUGGGGAGCAAACAGGAUUAGAUACCCCGGUAGUCCCUGUCUCUUAUAA